rnacentral:lncRNA from 1 species
CUGCUAAGCCGGACGCGGUGCGCAAGCCAGCGUGCUGCUAGAAAUCCUUGAAAGCAAAUCCCAGUUAGGAGAAGCCUGCUCUGAGCUGCUGGGCAGCUCAUUCACGCUGGGAGCGGUGCUGGAAAAGCUGCCAAAGCCAGGGCCCCCCAGCUGGUGCUGCAGCCACCGCGUGCAUGGGCACCAGCCCCAAGCGAGUUGCCCUCGGCUGGAUAUGUGCGAGUUGUACCCUGUGUUGGUGUCCUGGGCCGCCAAGGGCGCACUGCCGGCGGCUGGGGCGAUUCGCGAGCGAGCCACGCAGGGAAGCCCAGAGCCACAUCGCCUCCGCGUCUGGGGAAUUUUGCCUCUAGCUUCAGUCAGCAUUUGCAAGUCUUGUUAAACCUGAAUAACCGCAAUCCGUGACUCCAGCUUCAAAAACAUCAGAUGCUGAAAAAGUAGUGUGAAGCGUGUGUUUACGUGCACCCCCUCCCCGGCUCUUGCACCGAGGUCUCGGUGUGCGGCGGUCCCUGCUCCUGCCAGCGUCCAGCGACUGCUAGGUCACCUCCGCGUCAGGCMACGUUUGCUUAGCUGAAGUUAUACUUUUAAAUGUUUGUAAUUACACUGGUGUAAAACCAUUUGCGGAUGCUCUUCUAUGCGCUUUAACGGAAAUCUGAAUUCACAGCCAGAACCGAUUUUCUUUUGGACUCUCUUCUGAAAGCUGAAUCUGUUUAAGGGUAUCCACAUGGGUGUGCGCUGGCUUCAAUAAACAGAAUUAAAAACAGAUUUU